rnacentral:rRNA from 1 species
UUCAGUAUUUUGACUGUGCGAAGGUAGCAUAAUCAUUUGUCUUUUAAUUGAAGGCUUGUAUGAAUGGUUUGAUGAGGGAAUAACUUUCUUUAUAUUAUAAAUUGAAUUUAAUUUUUUAGUUAAAAAGCUAAAAUUUUUAAAUGGGACGAGAAGACCCUAUAGAAUUUUAUUUUCUUUUUAAAAAUAAUGGUUUGGUUAUAUUUUUUGUUUUUAUUUAUAUAAAAUUUUGUUGGGGUGACAUUGAGAUUUAUUUAACUCUCAUAAUUAAAUUUUUAAUAAUUAUUAUUUUUAUGAUACUAUUUUAUGGAUAUAUAGAUUAAAUUACCUUAGGGAUAACAGCGUAAUUUUUCCGGAGA